rnacentral:misc_RNA from 1 species
GAACGCACAUUGCGCCCGCCAGUAUUCUGGCGGGCAUGCCUGUCCGAGCGUCAUUUCAACCCUCAGGCCCACCCUUCCGGGGGAGCGGGCCUGGUUCUGGGGAUCGGCGGCCCUCGCGGCCCCCGUCCCUCAAAUUCAGUGGCGGUCGCGCCGCAGCCUCCCCUGCGUAGUAGCCCAACCUCGCACCGGAGAGCGGAACGACCACGCCGUAAAACACCCAAUUUUUUAAGGUUGACCUCGGAUCAGGUAGGAAUACCCGCUGAACUUA